rnacentral:rRNA from 1 species
GAUGAACGCUGGCGGCGUGCCUAAUACAUGCAAGUCGAGCGAACAGACGAGGAGCUUGCUCCUCUGACGUUAGCGGCGGACGGGUGAGUAACACGUGGAUAACCUACCUAUAAGACUGGGAUAACUUCGGGAAACCGGAGCUAAUACCGGAUAAUAUAUUGAACCGCAUGGUUCAAUAGUGAAAGACGGUUUUGCUGUCACUUAUAGAUGGAUCCGCGCCGCAUUAGCUAGUUGGUAAGGUAACGGCUUACCAAGGCAACGAUGCGUAGCCGACCUGAGAGGGUGAUCGGCCACACUGGAACUGAGACACGGUCCAGACUCCUACGGGAGGCAGCAGUAGGGAAUCUUCCGCAAUGGGCGAAAGCCUGACGGAGCAACGCCGCGUGAGUGAUGAAGGUCUUCGGAUUGUAAAUCUCUGUUAUUAGGGAAGAACAAAUGUGUAAGUAACUAUGCACGUCUUGACGGUACCUAAUCAGAAAGCCACGGCUAACUACGUG